CACAGAGUUAGCCGUCUCCUCCUCUUGUGGUACUAUCUUUUUAAUUUGCUCCCACAUGACAGGGGUUUACAAUCCGAAGACCUUCAUUCCCCACGCGGCGUCGCACCAUCAGGGUUUCCCCCAUUGUGAAUGAUUCUCGACUGCUGCCACCCGUAGGUGUCUGGACCGUGUCUCAGUUCCAGUGUGGCCGGACAUCCUCUCAGACCGGCUACCCGUCAUCGCCUUGGUGAGCCGUUACCUCACCAACUAACUAAUAGGCCGCGAGCCCAUCCCCAAGCGCAUUGCUGCUUUAAUCUUUCGAUACUAUGCGGUAUUAAUCCCAGUUUCCCAGGGCUAUCCCGCUCUCGGGGGCAGGUUACUCACGUGUUACUCACCCGUGCGCCACUAGAGAAUUAUUAGCAAGCUAGCAAUUCUCCCGUUCGACUUGCAUGUCUUAUCCACGCCGCCAGCGUUCGUUCUGAGCCAGGAUCAAACUC
rnacentral:rRNA from 1 species